UAGAGUUUGAUCCUGGCUCAGAUUGAACGCUGGCGGCAUGCUUUACACAUGCAAGUCGAACGGCAGCACGGGGGCAACCCUGGUGGCGAGUGGCGAACGGGUGAGUAACACAUCGGAACGUGUCCUUGAGUGGGGGAUAACCUGGCGAAAGCCAGGCUAAUACCGCAUACGCUCGUAGGAGGAAAGCGGGGGACCUGCAAGGGCCUCGCGCUGGAGGAGCGGCCGAUGUCCGAUUAGCUAGUUGGUGGGGUAAAGGCCCACCAAGGCGACGAUCGGUAGCUGGUCUGAGAGGAUGAUCAGCCACACUGGGACUGAGACACGGCCCAGACUCCUACGGGAGGCAGCAGUGGGGAAUUUUGGACAAUGGGGGCAACCCUGAUCCAGCCAUGCCGCGUGAGUGAAGAAGGCUUCGGGUUGUAAAGCUCUUUCGGUGGGAACGAAACGGGCACGGCUAAUAUCCGUGUUCAAUGACGGUACUCACAGAAGAAGCACCGGCUAACUACGUGCAGCAGCCGCGGUAUACGUUAGGUGC
rnacentral:rRNA from 1 species